rnacentral:lncRNA from 13 species
AGCACACAAAAAAACUAUACAUACCUUGGCCUAAACAUCAGCGCCACAGGUAACUUCCACAAAGCUGUGAACGAUCUGAGAGACAAGGCAAGAAGGGCAUUCUAUGCCAUCAAAAGAAACAUAAAUUUCAACAUACCAAUUAGGAUUUGGCUAAAAAUACUUGAAUCAGUCAUAGAGCCCAUUGCCCUUUAUGGUUGUGAGGUCUGGGGUCCGCUCACCAACCAAGACUUUACAAAAUGGGACAAACACCAAAUUGAGACUCUGCACGCAGAAUUCUGCAAAAAUAUCCUCAGUGUACAACGUAGAACACCGAAUAAUGCAUGCAGAGCAGAAUUAGGCCGAUACCCACUAAUUAUCAAAAUCCAGAAAAGAGCCGUUAAAUUCUACAACCACCUAAAAGGAAGCGAUUCACAAACCUUCCAUAACAAAGCCAUCACCUACAGAGAGAUUAACCUGGAGAAGAGUCCCCUAAGCAAGCUGGUCCUGGGGCUCUGUUCACAAACACAAACACACCCUACAGAGCCCCAGGACAACAGCACAAUUAGACCCAACCAAAUCAUGAGAAAACAAAAAGAUAAUUACUUAACACAUUGGAAAGAAUUAACAAAAAAACAGAGCAAACUAGAAUGCUAUUUGGCCCUACACAGAGAGUACACAGCGGCAGAAUACCUGACCACUGUGACUGACCCAAAAUUAAGGAAAGCUUUGACUAUGUACAGACUCAGUGAGCAUAGCCUUGCUAUUGAGAAAGGCCGCCGUAGGCAGACAUGGCUCUCAAGAGAAGACAGGCUAUGUGCUCACUGCCCACAAAAUGAGGUGGAAACUGAGCUGCACUUCCUAACCUCCUGCCCAAUGUAUGACCAUAUUAGAGAGACAUAUUUCCCUCAGAUUACACAGAUCCACAAAGAAUUCGAAAACAAAUCCAAUUUUGAAAAACUCCCAUGUCUACUGGGUGAAAUUCCACAGUGUGCCAUCACAGCAGCAAGAUUUGUGACCUGUUGCCACGAGAAAAGGGCAACCAGUGAAGAACAAACACCAUUGUAA